UUGGCUGUUCUGUUAGGUAGGGCCAAGGAUGCAGGCCAAGUUGGAGGCUUGGUGCCUCAUUUAGUUGAUGGAGGUAUCUCCAUCCUGCAGUACGCUGAUGAUACUAUUAUUUUCAUGGAGCAUGACUUGGUAAAAGCGAGAAAUAUGAAGCUGUUGCUUUGUUUGUUUGAGCAAUUGAGUGGGCUCAAAAUUAACUUCCAUAAAAGCGAGUUAUUCUGCUUUGGUAGAGCCAAAGAGGAACAAGAAUCCUAUAAACAACUGUUUGGGUGUGGUUUGGGGGAGCUGCCAUUCACAUACCUAGGAAUUCCUAUACAUCACCGUAGGCUUACGAACAAUGAAUGGAAGUGUAUUGAAGAUCGAUUUGAGAAAAAGCUAAGCUGUUGGAAGGGUAAGCUCAUGUCAUAUGGAGGCCGG
rnacentral:rRNA from 1 species